rnacentral:rRNA from 1 species
GAUGAACGCUGGCGGCGUGCCUAAUACAUGCAAGUCGAGCGAACAGACGAGGAGCUUGCUCCUCUGACGUUAGCGGCGGACGGGUGAGUAACACGUGGAUAACCUACCUAUAAGCCUGGGAUAACUUCGGGAAACCGGAGCUAAUACCGGAUAAUAUAUUGAACCGCAUGGUUCAAUAGUGAAAGACGGUUUUGCUGUCACUUAUAGAUGGAUCCGCGCCGCAUUAGCUAGUUGGUAAGGUAACGGCUUACCAAGGCAACGAUGCGUAGCCGACCUGAGAGGGUGAUCGGCCACACUGGAACUGAGACACGGUCCAGACUCCUACGGGAGGCAGCAGUAGGGAAUCUUCCGCAAUGGGCGAAAGCUUGACGGAGCAACGCCGCGUGAGUGAUGAAGGUCUUCGGAUCGUAAAACUCUGUUAUUAGGGAAGAACAAAUGUGUAAGUAACUAUGCACGUCUUGACGGUACCUAAUCAGAAAGCCACGGCUAACUACGUG